rnacentral:rRNA from 1 species
AACGAACGCUGGCGGCAUGCCUAACACAUGCAAGUCGAACGAGACCUUCGGGUCUAGUGGCGCACGGGUGCGUAACGCGUGGGAAUCUGCCCUUGGGUUCGGAAUAACACAGAGAAAUUUGUGCUAAUACCGGAUGAUGUCUUCGGACCAAAGAUUUAUCGCCCAGGGAUGAGCCCGCGUAAGAUUAGGUAGUUGGUGGGGUAAUGGCCUACCAAGCCGACGAUCUUUAGCUGGUCUGAGAGGAUGAUCAGCCACACUGGGACUGAGACACGGCCCAGACACCUACGGGAGGCAGCAGUGGGGAAUAUUGGACAAUGGGCGCAAGCCUGAUCCAGCAAUGCCGCGUGAGUGAUGAAGGCCUUAGGGUUGUAAAGCUCUUUUACCCGGGAUGAUAAUGACAGUACCGGGAGAAUAAGCUCCGGCUAACUACGUGCCAGCCGCCGCGGUAA